ACAUUGCUCGGAUCGACUCUCGCCCCCCCCCAUGGCGGGGGGGGGGUCGAAUUUAAAUGGAUAGCUUAGAUUAUGUGGUGUCAUAACCAUCGAUCAAGUAGUCCCUACGGGAUUGCCCCGAAGGUUGACCUGUUUGGGUGAAUGAAAC
rnacentral:rRNA from 1 species